GACGAACGCUGGCGGCGUGCUUAACACAUGCAAGUCGAACGGUGAAGCGCCUUCCUUUUUGGUGGGUGUGGAUGAGUGGCGAACGGGUGAGUAACACGUGAGUAACCUGCCCCCUUCUUCUGGAUAACCGCAUGAAAGUGUGGCUAAUACGGGAUAUUCUGGGUCUGUCGCAUGAUGGGUCUGGGAAAGAUAUUGUUUCGGUGGGGGAUGGGCUCGCGGCCUAUAAGCUUGUUGGGGGGGUGAUGGCCUACCAAGGCGGUGACGGGUAGCCGGCCUGAGAGGGUGGACGGUCACACUGGGACUGAGACACGGCCCAGACUCCUACGGGAGGCAGCAGUGGGGAAUAUUGCACAAUGGGCGCAAGCCUGAUGCAGCGACGCCGCGUGAGGGAUGGAGGCCUUCGGGUUGUGAACCUCUUUCGCCAGUGAAGCAGGCCUGCCUCGUUUGUGGGUGGGUUGACGGUGGCUGGAUAAGAAGCGCCGGCUAACUACGUG
rnacentral:rRNA from 1 species